GACGAACGCUGGCGGCGUGCCUAAUACAUGCAAGUCGAGCGAAGUUUUUCUGGUUCUUGCACUAGAAAAACUUAGCGGCGAACGGGUGAGUAACACGUAAAGAACCUGCCUCAUAGACUGGGACAACUAUUGGAAACGAUAGCUAAUACCGGAUAACAGUAUUUCUCGCAUGAGAGAUAUUUAAAAGUUGGUUAUGCUAACACUAUGAGAUGGCUUUGCGGUGCAUUAGCUAGUUGGUGGGGUAAAGGCCCACCAAGGCGACGAUGCAUAGCCGACCUGAGAGGGGGAUCGGCCACACUGGGACUGAGACACGGCCCAGACUCCUACGGGAGGCAGCAGUAGGGAAUCUUCCGCAAUGGGCGAAAGCCUGACGGAGCAACGCCGCGUGAGUGAAGAAGGAUUUCGGUUCGUAAAGCUCUGUUGUUAGGGAAGAAUGGAUAUGUAGUAACUAUACAUGUAAGAGACGGUACCUAACCAGAAAGCCACGGCUAACUACGUG
rnacentral:rRNA from 1 species